CUCGAGUGCUGAUUGGGCAGCGCUGCCGGCCCGCGCUAUAGAAGGGCCGGCGGGGCAGGUGCGGCCGGCUGUGUGUGAGGGCUGAGGGUGCGGUCCCGCUGCUGCCCGGGCUGCGGAGCCUCGCUCGUGGUUUCCCCUGGUGCUGGCAGAGUGGAGGCGAGUUGUGCUUUCUGCUGGGAGAGAGAACGGCCUUGGGAAGCUGCUCCAUGACCCCCAGCUGUGCCGAGCCUUGGAGUCUGUCCAGGUAAGAGCAGGGCUUAUACUCCCAGUGAGGAGCUGGGGUUUGCUGUUGGAAGAUAGAAUAUGCCCAUGCCUUUAAAUGCAAGGACAGGCAGAAGCUGGGAGGGACCCUGAGCAGGUUUGGUGGCAUUACAGCAGUUUUAAAAGACCUUGACUGUGGGGGAAGUGUCCAGGAAAAAUGAUUCCUUUUUUGCAAGGAGGCAGUUUGCAAGGACAGGGGGGUUACUGUGCUCUCUAGCAAAAAUACUCCCCUUGGGAUGUCCCGGGUGAGGAAAUGUUGGCCAUGUGUGGGCUGGAGAAAAGGUGUGUGGGUGCCUUGUGUGUGCAGGAAGGGGGUUCUGGUGCCAUUGGAGCUGCCAGGGAGCCAAAAAGGGCACAGUUGUCUGAAAAAGGCAAAAAGUCUCAGCCUCUAUUGACACCCGUACCAAAGGAAAUGCAAAUUUUCCCUUUCUCGUCUGUAGACUUCACAAAGCUCCCAAGAAAGGAAACUUUAGAUUCCUUCCCAGCUUUAUGCUAAAGGUUUCCUUCCUCCUGUCUCAGCACCCUUUCUGCUGUUGGGAGAGCACAAGGCAGAUGGAGAGGAUCCCCAGGCAUCUGCAGGCACAAGGGACUCAUACAACUGUGAUUUUCCUACAGCCCUCGUAAAAGGGACUUCCAGGAUACUCCUGGGAAUGUGCCAGCUCUCCUGCUGGAGCUUUUCUAUGGAAUCUUUGAACACAAAGGGUA